GGCACUGUGGCUUAGUUGGUUAAAACACCUGUUUUGUGAACAGGAAGUCCUAGAUCCGAAUCCUAGUGGUGCCU
rnacentral:tRNA from 1 species